GGUACACAUUAGUGUUUGAAGUAGUAGAGAAGAGAAGUAUAUUUAUUAAGAAUAUUGAGUAAUAAGGUAGCUUUUUAGAAUAAAUCCUACUUCAAAAAUACGCUUAUGCAAAUUGCAGUUUCCUAAAGAAAAUUAGUCUUUCUUCUAAGUGCAUUCGUUUAUAUUUACUUCAUAUUAGGUUAAAACAGUAACUUAAAGAAUUUUAAAAUAAUCUUAAAUAAUAAUCUAUUUUACCCUUAUUUUCCAAGUUGCAAAUGUAUCAUGUAUUCAGGAACUUAGUUGGAGUAAAUGUUUAAUGGUUAUGUUUUCAUUUUGGAUAGUAUGCACUGGAACGGCUGAAGGUCAUGUGCGAAGAAGCUUUGUGUAGUAACCUCUCAGUAGAGAAUGUUGCAGAUACCCUUGUCCUUGCAGAUUUGCACAGUGCAGAACAGUUGAAAGCACAAGCCAUAGACUUUAUUAAUAGGUGCAGUGUACUUCGACAACUUGGGUGUAAAGAUGGGAAAAACUGGAACAGCAAGUAAGAUGACAUCAGUUUCUGACUCA
rnacentral:sRNA from 1 species